UCGCGGCCCGCGCGCGCUGUUUUGAGCUGUGGCGGCCAUGGCGGGCGCGGCGGCGGCUCCGCAGUUCCAGGUGCCGCUCGCCCUGGCCGACCUGCUGCGGGACGAUGGCCGCGGGCACUACGUGGUGCAGGAGGUGCUGCCCGUCCAUGAGCUGCCGCCCUCCCUCGCAGCCUUCCGGGCCGCCUUCCGUGCGCGGGGCGCUCUGGCCGUGCUGCAGCACUUCGACGCCGGGUACAGCGUGCUCUACCACUUCCGAACCGUGGGCACCGCUGUCAAGGAGAACGCCCUGGAGCUGAUGGUGAACGUGGUGUCCCAUCAUUCCAAUGAACUUCCCGGCAUCCUGAGCGACUCUGGGCUGAGCCAUGCAGACCGUGCCGCUCACCUCAAUGCUCUUAAGAUGAACUGCUACUUGCUGACUUCCCUGAUGGAUGCCUUUGAAAUAGAAACCUGCAAGAACAGUUUGUUGGAGGCAGGUUGUGGUGGGAAGAACAAGAAGAACCAUGCCAAGACUUCUGGAUCCUUGUGGGAAGAGGAGAGGGAGCCAGUCUUACAGCUGCUUACGCAGGUGCUGCAGCUGGAUCUCCGUCAGCUUUGGGGUGGUUUAUCAGUGGAAGAAGAGUUUGUCAGCUUAAUGAUGGGAAGCUGCUACCGUAUCCUGGAGAAUCCCAGUAUCGGUCUUCAGAGGUAUCGUGCCACACGGGAGGCUGUGAUGCAUCUGCUUGCUGGAGCUCUGAUUCACUGUGGUCAAAUGUUUGGUGCCACUCUGAAGAUCACCCAGAUGCUGCAGUGCUUUGAACAUGUAGCCCCAGUGUUUGCACAGGCCGUGAGCCUCUGGGCUGAAGAGUAUGGUCUGAAAAGCCUGGUGGGUGAAUUGCUAAGGGAAAUUGGACAGAAAUGUCCGCGGGAUUUGGCUCGUGAGGCUUCUGGAGUCAAGGGUUAUUCUACCUUUAUAACAGAACUGGCCGGACAGAUUCCAGCUCUGGUGCUAUCCAACAUGAGUGUCCUCCUGCACCACUUGGAUGGAGAGAGUUACAUGAUGCGAAAUGCCAUUCUGGCAGCUAUGGCAGAAGCGCUGAUGAAGGUGCUGAAUGGUAACGAGCUGGACGAAGCUGCCCGUGGUACUCGGGACGAGUUCCUGAGUCUGCUGCAGGCCCACAUGUGUGACGUCCAUAGCUUUGUGCGCAGCCGCGUGCUGCAGCUUUUCACUCGAAUCGUUCAGUGCAAGGCCCUGCCUUUGACUCAGUUCCAGUCUGUGGUAUCACUGGCUGUUGGGCGUCUCAAUGACAAAUCUGUCAUAGUAGUUAAAAAUGCAAUCCAGCUCCUGGCUGCGUUUUUGUCCAACAACCCCUUCUCCUGCAAGCUAAACUGUGCUGACUUUGAAAAGCCACUGAAGAAAGAAGUGCAGAAACUGCAAGAAAUGAGGGACCGUGUCAGAUCCACAGCAGCUCCAGUGAUCACUCCAGAGGAAGAGUGGGAAGCGAUGCUACCAGAAGUUAGGGCUGCCAUACAACAGCUCUUUCAACCACAGCAGGAAAAGGAAGAGGAGGUGCUGGAAGUUGAGGAAACAGUGGAGAGUGCAGUGGAGCAAAUCACUGGGCUGCUGAGAAAGCUGAAUUACAAGAGUGCAGCCCACCUUACGCAGAAGGCCCUGUGUCGCUUCCAGGGGAAGGAACCCUUCAGUGGCCCCAUGGAGGAAAAUGAGGAGGCAACAAUCCUGGAUGUUCUGAGGAGACUUUACACAGUGUGCUGUGCAGGUUCAUGCCCAGGAGAGAACAGUGAAGAUCCUCGAAAUGACGACAGUAGUCAUAAGACCAAAGAAGUUGUAAAAGAAAAGCAGUCUCAAACAGAGCUGGUCAAACAGGAGAUGUUGGUGCAAUACCUGCAAGAUGCUUACAACUUCUCAGUGAAAAUCACAGAAGCUCUGUACCUGAUCAGCAAGCUGAUGUAUGAAAGCUCUGUCUCAGUGGUGCAGGAAGCCAUUGAGUUCUUUGUGACGGUCUCACAGUUUAAUGUGCCCGAGGCACUGCUUGGAGUCCGCAGGAUGCUCCCCCUCAUAUGGUCAAAGGAGCCUGGCAUUAAGGAGGCUGUGCUGAACGCCUACAGGCAACUCUAUCUGAACCCCAGUGAGGAUUCUGAGAGGGCCAAGGCCCAGAGCCUGGUGCGUUCUCUCUCUCUCAUCAUGGUGGAUGCAUCACUAGAAACGAUACGGUGCUUAGAAGAGAUAAUCUCAGAGUUUGUGCGAAAAGAUGAAAUAAAGCCUGCUGUGAUCCAGCUGCUUUGGGAGCAAUUCACGGAAAAAUCUAAGUGCUCGUCGCUGGAACGACGUGCUGCUCUGAUGCUGCUGGGGAUGAUGGCACGAGGGAAUCCAGAGAUCAUAGGUAGCAACCUGGACAUCUUGAUAACAGUGGGGUUGUCUGAGAAGGCGUGUGAAGACUAUCGCCUGGCUCAAGAAGUAUGCAAUGUUAUCUCCAAACUUGCCAGUGACCCUAAGCCAGCAAUGGAGAAGAACAGUGCACCUUUUCGACUCUCACAGAAUCACAUGCUCUUUGGUUGCCUGAGUGAGACUAUGAGUAAAGGCUUUGCCCAGCCAAGUACUCACUGGAUCCCCUUCAUGGAUACAGCAGUAACACUCAUCUACCAGCUGGCAGAAGGGCCAGAUGAGAUAUGUGCCCACAUCCUGCAAGUGUGCAGUCAGCAAGCUCUGGAGAAGCUGCAGGAGGCUGAUGGGCAGAACUCUGAUCCAAGGGAUUCUCCCAGCAGAGACUCUGCUGGUGCUGCCAGUCUCCCCACGUUCAUGUUGGUGCACCUGGUGUCCCUUGUGGGACAAGUGGCAAUGCAGCAGGUAGCACAUUUGGAAGUGUCAGUGAGUGCAGAGCUAGGCAGACGCCGUGUCCUUAAAGAGGAGAAGACCAAGAAGCGUUCUGACAGCAGCAAACAGAAGCGGAGAUCCCAGACCACAGGAAACGAGACCACUAUGGAGGAGGAGCUGGGCCUCAUGGCAGCCACGGCCGAUGACACUGAGGCCGAGCUUAUCUGCAAUAUUUGUGAGACAGAACUUCUAGAUGGGAAGCACCUGCUCUCUGCCUUUGUUCCACUGGUGCUCAAGAUCUGCAGCAACCCUGGACGCUACAGCGAUUCAGCACUGUCAGCUGCUGCAGCCCUAACUCUUGGCAAACUCUGCAUGAUCAGCUCUGAGUUCUGUGACACCCACUUGCGUCUGCUGUUCACGAUGAUGGAGAAGUCCACUCUGCCUGGUGUGAGAUCCAACCUCAUUAUUGCAGCAGGAGAUCUGGCCAUCCGCUUCCCCAACCUGGUGGAGCCAUGGACAUCACAUCUCUAUGCCAGGUUGCAGGACCCCUGCCCAAGUGUGAGGCAGACAGCUGCACUCGUGAUGACUCAGCUCAUCCUCAAAGACAUGGUGAAGGUAAAGGGCCAAGUGAGCGAAAUGGCAGCUCUGCUGGUAGACCCAGACGAGGCAAUCGUGGGAGUGGCUCAGAACUUCUUCAGCGAACUCUCCAACAAGGAUAAUGCCAUCUAUAACCUGCUUCCAGACAUAAUCAGUCAUCUCUCCAAUCCUAACUGCAGCACAGAGGAGGAAUCCUUCCACACUAUUAUGAGGCAUCUCUUCUCAUAUAUUACGAAAGACAAACAGACAGAGCGCUUGGUGGAGAAACUUUGUCAGAGAUUCCGGACUGCCAGGUUGGGUUGUAGUCUUAAUUUUCCUGACAAGCACUUUUGCUUCUUAGGAAUUGUUAGAGGAAACAAGCUUGUGUGUGAUAGUUGCAACAGGUUCCUGUCCUAAUCUUCACGUGGCAAAGUGACAGAUGCUGACAUAACCUGGAUUAGGUCCUGGGUUUUUAACUACCUUCCUCCUAAAAAUACAUGAAUAAAUAUGUAUAAAUUAAGGCAGUGAUUGGCCCCUCUUCCCUCCUUUCUUAAGUGCAACACCCACCCCAUGAAUCUGGGAUGUCAUUUUGCUUUUAUGGUUUUAGAGUUUUUUGCUUCUUUUUGCCUGUUCCCCAUGCUUUUUUUUUUUUUUUUUUUUUCCCCAAGAAGAAAGGUAACAGAAAUUUAUUUGCCUCCCUGUCAUGUACUUCCCAAUGAUAUCUUCAUUUUAACUUCCACUGGUUUUGGUGCACCCUGCCUUCCUCCAUUCCUGUGGGUUUUCCUUCCCCAUUGUUGCGGCUUUGCCCUUGAGAUUUAAGCUGUGUCUGCUUAUCUUGGCCAUUUGUACACAGUGCCUGGGCACGUGACCCACUCAGCUGCCUCAGGGAGUUGCAUAUUUCCCAAAAUAUUUGGAUUUUGUUUCCUGAGCUGGAGUGGAAAGUGGUCCCUCUCUCCCAGGUUGCCUCCCAGGAACACUGGUGAGCUCUUCACACAACAUUUGUAAAUAACUAUCUUUGUGUAAGUUGUGUCUAGCCUGAAGUAAAAUGUCCUGAUAUUUCUGUACCACAAAGAUGAUCAGCUUGAUGAGCACUAGUGGUAAUGCCAAAGGAAGACUCUCGCUCCAGGUUAAAACAGGAGCUUAUCAGAGAAGAUUUUGCAGCUACUAUCACCCUCCUCAGCAUUGGAGUCCCAAACAUAGCAACUUGCCAAGUAUCAUUCACACUUUAAAGAUGGAAAUACCUGGUUGCUUCAGCUUUGUUCUCCAUCUGUUUGGGUUUGAGCAUUCUCAGAGAGCAGAUACAGGACAGACUUCAGGCCCUCUGCUUUGUAUAUAUUAAUAAUAGGGGCUUUGGCCACGUUUUUUUCCCAUCCCAUUCCAUCACAGUGAGCUACAUUAAUAGUUUGUGCUUUUGGGUUUUUUCUCCUUGUUUUUUUUCCUGUAACUUUUGCUGGAAUUUGAAUGUACUCGUUCUUUGAUAAAGCAGUUGUUAUUUGUUGACUUUAUAACUUAAUGAAUAUGACCUUCUUUAUGUCCCUUUCUGGCCAGGAAGAGAGAGAGAGAGAACAUCAAAUACAGCUUCUGCUUGAGAUCAUCUCAAACAUGCAAAAAUGAGCAGCCAGGGUUUUUUUAUUAUUCAGUUGAAAUAAGGUCCUUCAAGAGGAGUCCUGACCUCACUGAGUCAUCUUUUCUUCCUAGUCAGCAAUAACUUCUGAUACUUUUUAAACAAGUGACUGUGUUCUUCAGCAGUGGAGCCUUCAUGUUUUUCUGACAGACACUAAUGCAGUGUCUUUGGAAUGCAGUGGUGGUUGUGUGUGUUAUGGCACAGCACCCUGUCACUGACCUGUAACAGAACAACCCAAAUCUCAUGUUCUGCAAGGCAGAAGCACCUGUAGUUCUAGGUGAGAUGUGCUCACCCUCACACACCCCUUUUUGUAAGAGCUAAUGGCAGUCUUUGUCUUUCUCAGAACGGAGCGUCAAUACCGGGAUCUGUCCCACUGCCUUACUCUGCUUCCAAUCUCAGAAGGGGGCCUUCACAAGCUGCAGGACAACUUUGACUGCUUUGCAGAUAAGCUCCAAGAUCAAGCU